rnacentral:rRNA from 1 species
GGAUUAGAUACCCUGGUAGUCCACGCCGUAAACGAUGGAUACUAGCCGUUUUGGUUGUUUCGACAAUUUGGAGUGGCUAAGCGAAAGUGAUAAGUAUCCCACCUGGGGAGUACGUUCGCAAGAAUGAAACUCAAAGGAAUUGACGGGGGCCCGCACAAGCGGUGGAGCAUGUGGUUUAAUUCGAUGAUACGCGAGGAACCUUACCAAGGCUUAAAUGGGAAUUGACAGGUUUGGAAACGAAUUUUUCUUCGGACAAUUUCCAAGGUGCUGCAUGGUUGUCGUCAGCUCGUGCUG